rnacentral:lncRNA from 1 species
GCCCCCGAGCCGAGCCCGCUGGAGCGGCCGCGGGCACCGCGUGGCAGCGCCCGGAGCGUGGGCAGCGGGCUUCCCGGGGAGCUGGGAAAGUUUCGGACGGCUGGGCUGUAGGGGACGUGGCUUCGGAACGGAGGGGUGCCCGGCUUUACGAAGUUCGGUUCUCAGCUCUGUGGAUGUACGGCUGACAGCUCAGGAUAAAAAGAGCUCUUCAUCUUCCUGCUCAGCCCCGCUGCUCUGCUCUCAGUCACGGCUGACAUCACCACGUCACCUUCCCUCAGCGCCACCGCUCCGACGCCGCCCAUUUGAUGUGGGCCCCUCACCACGUCCCGUGGCAGAUGUUUACCCACUGUGGGCUGUUUCUGGUUGAAGGACGCGCUUACUGCCCCUCAAGUAGUUAGCACACGUGUUCAAAUUCCUAUAAUCUUCCAUCUUGAUUACCGUGGCAUUUUCUGGUAUGAACAAUUAGUGUCAUCCAGCUUUAUUGAAACUGCUGCUCCAAAGAGCUGUUCUAUUCUCAUUAUUUUGCGUAUUUUGCAAGCUGGCUUGCAUUUGUCCACCGAGUGCGAGGCUUCGCAGACAGACAGACGUGCUCCGGUUGAGGCGCGCAGCCGUUCAGAGGCAGUUCGGUCGCGGCUUUGGCCCGCACUCAUCCCCAGCACAGAACAGCACCACAGCCCAGGUCGCACCGCGUGCUGCCCUGUGCGGGGAGGAGGGCCGGCUUCAAAUCGUGACAGGAACGAAUGCACGCCCAGUGCUGCUCGGCUAAAAGAACGAGAGAACUGGGAAACAGAAUCGGUGCCAUCGGUCAGCUGUGCGCUGCGGAUCUCCACUCGGAGCCAGGGCAGCUCAAAUUGUCACCAGUUUUAAUCAUUAAAAAUUGACAAGGCUGUUUCAAGGGAUUUUUUGUUUCUAUUCGAAGAGUCACUAACCGCACGUUUAAUCGCGACAUUUAUGAACACGUCACUGCGGCAUCUCUGAACGCUCCAUAACGCAUUCGGCGCGGAACGAGCGCCUCGGCCCUGUUUUUACCACAGCACUCCGCGCCGCCUCACCGCGCGUCACGAAAGAGGCGCUCCCGCGCCGGGCGGCGCGCGACAGCGCUGAGGGAACGGAGCCC